rnacentral:lncRNA from 1 species
GUAUUUCCCAGUAAUAUAAAGUUAAUGGAUAAAGGGUGCUUUAUUUAUGUUGCUCAUUCCGCACUUUAAGGAAUUGGUUUUAGUUGUGUGUCUCAGUAGAAUAUUGUUGCUUCUACCUUAAAAGAAGUUCUUACAUUUUAAUUUGCUAUAAAAACUUAAUUUUAUAAAAUUAUGUAAGUUCUCAAGUAAGUUUUUACUGUUUGAUUUUAUAUCGCAAGAUAACCUUAUAUAUUAUGUUGCUUUUACGUAAGUUUUACACUUUGUAACUAUUUUCAGUUAUGUAUCUGGUUGCGGAUAUGCAGUCAUAAAUGAUUAUUUAUGUUACAUUAUUUACGUUUCUCAUAGCAAGUCUGUCAGUUGGUAUGUUGCAAUCUAGUUGAAGUUGAGAAUAUCAAGAGUUUGUGAAAGAUAAUAAAAGACAUUUAGGAAACUUACAACAAUGAAAAAACUGUUGGAUUUAAAUAUUGCUCCGUGGAAGGGCAGUUCUUUUAUAGCACUACUUCUAAGCAGCAGCCACACUAGAUAGUUUUUGAGUUGCUUGUUCUCUCUUCUAAGCAGCAGCCACAGUAGAUAGUUUCUCUAAUGAAAGUAGCUCUUUUAAAAUGCAAUAUCUUCCCUCAUCUAAGUUCCCAUGCUGUCUUAGUUGUUGGUGCUCUCGUCAGUCAUCAGCUAUGAACUUGUUAGAAGAGGGCAAUAGAAUUACUAAAAGGAAAUCUAAUUUAUGAGUUGGUUUUGUGGCUUUGACUUAGCCAUGCAUUUUGAAUUAACCUAUAAAAUAGGUUUACGUUGAAACAAAUAGAUAGCAUUAUGUGAUAAGUGGAUAAGUGGCUAACGUGAUGAGGCGGUUGCUGAAAGGACGGAAAGAAGGUUGUGAAUAGCCUCAAUAAAUAGCUGAUGCGCAAGCUUCAGAAGAACAUAACAAAAUACAGUAUACAAUCUUCUUGGAGUCCUAAAGCAAUAUACAUAUAUUUAUCUGGUUUACAUUUAUAUUCAUCGGUGGUGGGGUGUUCAAUCUUCUUUCAUUGGUAUCAGAGCUAGGGUUUUAAGAUACAAAGAAAUGGCGAGCAAAUUGAUUGCAUCGGAACUGGCCAAAACAGAGAGGCUCAAUGGCACCAACUAUGAUAUGUGGAGCCGGAAAAUUCGAUAUGGAUUAAUCCAUGACAAUCUAGAGAGUGCAAUUGAAGAGGCUGCACCAAAAUUGGGAAAAGAAGCUACUGAUGCUGAAAAGAAAGAAUUUGACACAUGGAAGCUGUGUGACAAGAAAGCCAAAAGCCUCAUGCUGAUGUUUAUGGAUGAUAAUCUCAUCAAAGUUUUUGAGGUCUACACUACUGCAAAAGAUAUGUGGGAUGCAAUCAAAGAAAAGUAUGACACCACUUCUGAGGUGAAUGUGCAGCUCCUUCUGCACAGGUACAACACUUGCAAAAUGAAGGAAAAUGAAAAUGUUAUUGAUCACUGCAACAAAAUGAUUGUGAUGGCCAAGGACUUGGCAGCUGCUGGUAAUGAACUUUCAGAAAAUAUGCAGAUUGAUGGGAUAUUAAACAGUUUGCCUCGCUCUUUGGACAUGGUUGCAACAACUCUAAGGCACAGUGGAAAAAUUAAUAAGGUUGAUGAUCUUCCAAGUGCACUUGCCGUGGAGCAAGAUUUGGUGAAUAGCAGAAAAGAGCCAGAGCUGAAUAUUGUGCAAGAAGAUGAAUCUAACAUUGCUCGUGGGUAUCCAAAAAAUCACCACAAAAAUCAAAACAGAAUUGGUCCCUCAAAAGGGAAGAACUUCAAGCCACAAAAGUGGCAGAAGAAGGUUCCACAAGGUGCUUGCUACACUUGUGGGAAGUAUGGCCAUUUUAAGGCUAAUUGUACCCAAAAGCAAGGAAACAAGGGUGGUGACAAACGCCCAGAAAAAGGUGGCCCACAAAAAUAUGAGUUUGUGGGAGUGAUUGAAUGCAACGCUGCACAUGUUGCUACCGACGUUAGUGGUUGGUGGAUUGACUCUGGUGCUACCCACCAUAUUUCCAAAACCAAAGAUGGGCUCACUGAAUUCACUGAAUUGAAAAAAGGGGAAAAGAGAGUUUUCAUGGGCAACAACACUUAUCUUGAAGUGGUUGGAAUUGGCACCUAUAAAUUGGAUGUCGGGAACAGUAUCAUGGUACUCAAGAAUGUGUUGUAUGCUCCGGGAAUGAGAAGAAACUUGAUUUCAGUUCAUGCACUGACAAAGAAUGGCUUGGAGGUCCGAUUCUAUAAUGGUAGAGUUUCUAUUGGUAGGGACAAGAAAGUGUUUGCUAUGGGAAGGCUUGAACCUGAUCAUGAAUUGUUCAAGCUUCCAGUUGUAAUCGAUAAUGAAAUGAAUAAGAAUGCUAUUUCCGAUUACUCUUUGUCUUAUAAUAUAUGCAUGUAUGACAUGUGGCAUUAUAGAUUGGGACAUCCAGGAAUAAAUAAAAUGGAACAAAUAAUAAAAGAAAAUUUGUUACCAAGAAUGGAAGUGAAUAAAUCACCUUGUGAACAUUGCAUAAAAGGAAAAAUAACAAGAAAACCUUUUAAAGAAGGACAAAGAGCUACAGAACUCUUGGGUUUGAUACAUUCAGACAUUUGUGGUCCAUUGAGUUACAAAACUCAUGCUAAUAAAGAAUAUUAUAUAACAUUCAUUGAUGAUUAUUCAAAAUAUUGUUAUGUGUAUCUUAUAUCGAGAAAAUCUGAAGCUUUUGAAUGCUUUAAGAGAUAUAAGACAGAAGUUGAAAAACAACUUGGAAAAGACAUUAAAGUCUUAAGAACUGAUAGAGGGGGAGAAUACAAUUCUACAGAAUUUGACAACUAUUGUCAAGAACACGGAAUAAUAAGACAUAAGACUAUGUCAUUUACACCACAACAAAAUGGGGUGGCAGAAAGAAAAAAUAGAACAUUAUUAAAUGUUGUGAGAUGUUUGUUGUCUCAUUCGGGACUAACAAAAAGAUUUUGGGGAGAUGCAUUGCUUACUACCAUGUGGCAUUAUAGAUUGGGACAUCCAGGAAUAAAUAAAAUGGAACAAAUAAUAAAAGAAAAUUUGUUAUCAAGAAUGGAAGUGAAUAAAUCACCUUGUGAACAUUGCAUAAAAGGAAAAAUAACAAGAAAACCUUUUAAAGAAGGACAAAGAGCUACAGAACUCUUGGGUCUGAUACAUUCAGACAUUUGUGGUCCAUUGAGUUACAAAACUCAUGCUAAUAAAGAAUAUUAUAUAACAUUCAGUGAUGAUUAUUCAAAAUGUUGUUAUGUGUAUCUUAUAUCGAGAAAAUCUGAAGCUUUUGAAUGCUUUAAGAGAUAUAAGACAGAAGUCGAAAAACAACUUGGAAAAGACAUUAAAGUUUUAAGAACUGAUAGAGGGGGAGAAUACAAUUCUACAGAAUUUGACAACUAUNAAUUUAAUAAUACUAUGAUUCAACUUGGUUUCAUAUCUAACAAAUUAGAUAGAUGUGUUUACACUUUGAAAAGUGGGAGCUCAUUUGCGAUAUUGUCAUUGUAUGUGGAUGACAUAUUAUUGGCUGGAAAUGACAUAGAGAUGUUGAAUAAAAUCAAGUUGGAACUUGGUAGUGAAUUUGAGAUGAAAGACAUGGGUGAGGCGUCAUAUGUUCUAGGAAUUGAAAUCAUAAAAGAUAGAAAAAAUAGAACAUUGAGCCUAAAUCAAGAAAGGUAUCUUCGUAAAGUGCUUAAUCGUCUUGGGAUGCAGAAUUGCAGUCCGGCGCCAACUCCAUUAGUAAUGGGGAAACGAUUAACAAAGAAUAAGGAUCUCGAAGAGGGACAAGAAUUACUAGACAAACCAUAUGCAGAAGCAGUUGGAAGCUUAAUGUAUGCUAUGUNUUCUUGGAAGACAAACCAUAUGCAGAAGCAGUUGGAAGCUUAAUGUAUGCUAUGUUGUGCACAAGACCUGAUUUGGCAUAUCCGGUUAGUCUAGUUAGCAGAUACCAAAGUAAUCCUAGUCAAGCUCAUUGGGAAGCUGUUAAGAGGAUUAUGAAGUACUUGAAAGGUACAUUGCAUCACAAGUUGGUUUAUAGAGCGGACGCGCUUGAUAUUAUUGGUUACUCCGAUGCUGAUUUAGGAGGAGAUAAAGAUGAUGGAAAGUCGACUUCUGGUCACCUAUUUAUUUUAGGUGGAGCUGCUGUAUGUUGGGGCAGUAAGAAACAAGGGUGUGUUGCAAGAUACACACAAGAAGCUGAGUAUAUAGCUUGUAGUAUGGCUGCUACUCAUGCUGUCUGGAUAAGACGUUUCUUAUUGGAUUUAAAUCUCAAUUUAAUGAACGGGCCCAUUGAGAUUUAUUGUGAUAAUACAUCAGCAAUUGAUUUGAUUUAUAGUGGUGCAAACAGUUCGAAAGGACAACAUAUAGAAAUACAAUAUCAUUAUAUUUAUGAUAUAGUAGUGGAAAAGGAAGAGGUCAAAGUGACUUAUAUUCCUACUACUGCUUGCGGAUUCUUUGACAAAAGCAAUUCCAGCCGAGACAUUUAUCAAACAUGUUAGUUUGAUGGGGUUAAGAAAUACUUGAGAUAGAUCGCACGAAAAGUGGGAGUAUAAUAUGAUGUGUGUAAACAUUUCAAAAUCUUGGCUAAGUAGCCAAGUGGGAGAUGUUAGUUUGUGGCUUUGACUAAGCCAUGCAUUUUGAAUUAACCUAUAAAAUAGGUUUACGUUGAAACAAAUAGAUAGCAUUAUGUGAUAAGUGGAUAAGUGGCUAACGUGAUGAGGCGGUUGCUGAAAGGACGGAAAGAAGGUUGUGAAUAGCCUCAAUAAAUAGCUGAUGCGCAAGCUUCAGAAGAACAUAACAAAAUACAGUAUACAAUCUUCUUGGAGUCCUAAAGCAAUAUACAUAUAUUUAUCUGGUUUACAUUUAUAUUCAUCGGUGGUGGGGUGUUCAAUCUUCUUUCACAUCCUUACAGAGUUACGGUACUCAAACUUCUGGACUCUGGAGUACGUGUGGCAGGGUUUCACACACCAAAGAAAUAUUGCUACAUAAUAUUUGUUGUAAUAAUAACUGUGAGUGCUAUUUGCUCUAUCGUGGAAGGGAGUUGCUUCUAUUGUGAGUGCACAUUUAAAACGAAGGAUCGCGAGUAUUAAUUUUUUUGUUUAAAUAAGUCGAAGUACUUGAGUUUCUAGCAAGAAUUUAGGAUGUAUCUGCAUGCAACAGUCUAGCAUAUUUCCUAUAUUAUAUUUUUCUUUGAAACACUAUUGGAUCAUAUCCUUUAGCAAAUACUAGCACUUAUAUGUCUGGACAAUGAUGUUGCAUAGCAAUCGAACUCGGUGCAAAGCUAAUUUAUGUUUUUUUUCCCUUUAGUGAGAAAGGUAAAGGAAGAAGCACACACCAUAUGAAGCAGAGGUGAUAUGGAAAUCAUCUGCAGAGGCACGUGAGUACUUUUUAUCACAAUUUGUCAUGGCUUCAAAUGCUGACUAUAGAACAAGUUUUACAACACAUUUACAAGAGAAGUGCAUCACCAGAGGCACAUUUUUGACCCAAGAGCACAAGAUUAGUAGAUAACUGCACAAGUUGAAGCACUGUUUUGACACAAAGACUCUCAACUGUAAGGUAGUAAGCUCUUUUAUAGGCUCCGAUCCUUUUUAUUUAUAUAUAGUUUCCUUUUUCAUUUUUUGUUUCCCUGUAAAUUUCUUAUCUGUAACUUGUAAAUAGUUUUUUCCUUGGCAAAGUUAAGUUUAUAAUGCAAAUUAACGAGAUACUCUACUUGGCUACAUCUUGUUGCUGUAGUUGAAUAGAUAUUGUUGCCUCGUAGUUAGCUUUUCUGAAAUCAUUUUCUGUAGAAAUUAGAAUAGAUACAUUACUGAUUGCGGAAAAUGUUGACAAAUUGUAAAUUUGUAAAAUUUCAAAUAAAAAGCAGAGUUUAUUAUUGUGAGAAAA